UAAGUAUUUUUAUCUUGAACAUGAGAAUAUCUUGUUGGGAUUUAAUCAAAAGAACUUUUGUGUGUUGAAACCUUUGGCAGGAAAUGCUCUUCAACUCCUUCUCAGGAGUUUGCAGGCCACUGAGAAGAUGGUUUGUUCAGACAAAGAGGGUGCGAAGAUUAGAUGUUCCUAUGAUAACAGCAAUGAAGCUUGUUCCGUCACUGAAAUGUAUGCCUAGACUUGAUUAUAAAACCAGUUCGUUAUUAAAAAAAUCAAGCAAUAGAAAGGGAAAGUUUGCAUGAAACCUAUAAAAAAAUAAUCCUCUUUUUGUGAAUCACUUUAAUUUCUAUGUCAGAAAUUUGGCAGGCAAAUAUUUAGAAGGACAGAUUUCCUCUUCAAUAGGUGACUUUGAGAACUUGAAAAUACUUGAUCUAUCCAACAAUCUGCUUACUGGUGUGAUUCCUCCCUCGCUGGGGAAAUUACAGCGUCUCGAAAUAUUGUACCUUGCAAACAAUAUAUUGACUGGGUCGAUACCUGACAACCUGACACUGUUGCAGAGUCUGAAA